UGGGGAAUUUUGGACAAUGGGCGAAAGCCUGAUCCAGCAAUGCCGCGUGUGUGAAGAAGGCCUUCGGGUUGUAAAGCACUUUUGUCCGGAAAGAAAUCCUUGGCUCUAAUACAGUCGGGGGAUGACGGUACCGGAAGAAUAAGCACCGGCUAACUACGUGCCAGCAGCCGCGGUAAUACGUAGGGUGCAAGCGUUAAUCGGAAUUACUGGGCGUAAAGCGUGCGCAGGCGGUUUGCUAAGACCGAUGUGAAAUCCCCGGGCUCAACCUGGGAACUGCAUUGGUGACUGGCAGGCUAGAGUAUGGCAGAGGGGGGUAGAAUUCCACGUGUAGCAGUGAAAUGCGUAGAGAUGUGGAGGAAUACCGAUGGCGAAGGCAGCCCCCUGGGCCAAUACUAACGCUCAUGCACGAAAGCGUGGGGAGCAAACAGGAUUAGAUACCCUGGUAGUCCACGCCCUAAACGAUGUCAACUAGUUGUUGGGGAUUCAUUUCCUUAGUAACGUAGCUAACGCGUGAAGUUGACCGCCUGGGGAGUACGGUCGCAAGAUUAAAACUCAAAUGAAUUGACGGGGUCAUAGCUG
rnacentral:rRNA from 1 species